UAAUCGUAGGAUGUGCCUCCGACUGGCCAGGGUCCGAGCGCUCCCCACCUGAUCUGACAAAGUGCCAAGCAAGCCAAUCCAAGUUGCACCUUGCCUUCCAAGAAUAAUCCUUGCCUUCCAAGUUCCCACUUGCCUUCCAAGAAUAAAUCCUUGCCUUCCAAAUGUUCCCUUGCCUUCCAAGAAUAAAUCCUUGCCUUCCAAGAGCCCCAUGUUUCGA
rnacentral:lncRNA from 1 species